GACGAACGCUGGCGGCGUGCUUAACACAUGCAAGUCGAACGGUAAGGCCCUUCGGGGUACACGAGUGGCGAACGGGCGAGUAACCCGUGGGUGCGCUGCCCUGCACUUCGGGAUAAGCCGGGGAAACUCGGUCUAAUACCGGAUAGGACAACUGACUGCAAGGGUGGGGGUGGAAAGCUUUUGCGGUGUGGGAUGGGCCCGCAGCCUAUCAGCUUGUUGGUGGGGUGAUGGCCUACCAAGGCGACGACGGGUAGCCGGCCAGAGAGGGUGACAGGCCACACUGGGACUGAGAUACGGCCCAGACUCCUACGGGAGGCAGCAGUGGGGAAUAUUGCACAAUGGGCGCAGGCCUGAUGCAGCGACGCCGAGUGAGGGAUGACGGCCUUCGGGUUGUAAACCUCUUUCAGCACCGACGAAGCGCAAGUGACGGUAGGUGCAGAAGAAGGACCGGCCAACUACGUGCCAGCCGCCGCCGUAA
rnacentral:rRNA from 1 species